GAUGAACGCUGGCGGCGUGCCUAAUAUAUGCAAGUCGAGCGAACAGACGAGGAGCUUGCUCCUCUGACGUUAGCGGCGGACGGGUGAGUAACACGUGGAUAACCUACCUAUAAGACUGGGAUAACUUCGGGAAACCGGAGCUAAUACCGGAUAAUAUAUUGAACCGCAUGGUUCAAUAGUGAAAGACGGUUUUGCUGUCACUUAUAGAUGGAUCCGCGCCGCAUUAGCUAGUUGGUAAGGUAACGGCUUACCAAGGCAACGAUGCGUAGCCGACCUGAGAGGGUGAUAGGCCACACUAGAACUGAGACACGGUCCAGAGUCCUAAGGGAGGCAGCAGUAGGGAAUCUUCCGCAAUGGGCGAAAGCUUGACGGAGCAACGCCGCGUGAGUGAUGAAGGUCUUCGGAUCGUAAAACUCUGUUAUUAGGGAAGAACAAAUGUGUAAGUAACUAUGCACGUCUUGACGGUACCUAAACAGAAAGCCACGGCUAACUACGUG
rnacentral:rRNA from 1 species